rnacentral:rRNA from 1 species
CUACGGGUGGCUGCAGUGGGGAAUAUUGGACAAUGGGCGAAAGCCUGAUCCAGCCAUGCCGCGUGUGUGAAGAAGGCCUUCGGGUUGUAAAGCACUUUCAGUGGGGAAGAAAGCCUUGGGGCUAAUACCCUCGAGGAAGGACAUCACCCACAGAAGAAGCACCGGCUAACUCCGUGCCAGCAGCCGCGGUAAUACGGAGGGUGCGAGCGUUAAUCGGAAUUACUGGGCGUAAAGCGCGCGUAGGCGGUCUGAUAAGCCGGUUGUGAAAGCCCCGGGCUCAACCUGGGAACGGCAUCCGGAACUGUCAGGCUAGAGUGCAGGAGAGGAAGGUAGAAUUCCCGGUGUAGCGGUGAAAUGCGUAGAGAUCGGGAGGAAUACCAGUGGCGAAGGCGGCCUUCUGGACUGACACUGACGCUGAGGUGCGAAAGCGUGGGUAGCAAACAGGAUUAGAUACCUAGUAGUC